UUCAGACUCCUGACCUCAAGUGAUCUGCCUGCCUCGGCCUCCCAAAUUGUUGGGAUUACAGGCGUGAGCCACCGUGCCCGGACUUGUUGUUUUUUAAAGACCAGGUGUUGCUGUGUUAUCCAGGCUGGAGCGAAGCUGCACAAUUAUAGCUCUCUGCGACCUCCAACUGUGGGCUCGUGAUCCUCCAGCCUUAGUCUCUGAGUAUUGAGGCACACCACCAUGCCUUGCUAAUUUUUUUUUCUUUGAGACGGAGUCUCGCUUUGUCGCCCAGGCUGGAGUGCAAUGGUGUGAUCUCGGCUCACUGCAACCUUGGCCUCCUGGGUUCAAGGGAUUCUCCUGCCUUAACCUCCCAAAUAGCUGGGACUACAGGCGCCUGCCGCCAUGCCUCACUAAUUUUUUUGUAUAUUUAAUAGAGACGGGGUUUCACCAUGUUGGCCAGGCUGGUGUUGAGCUCCUGACCUCAGGAGAUCUGCCCGCCCCGACCUGCCAAAGUGCUGGGAUUACAGGCAUGAAGCACUGCGCCUGGCCAAUUUUUAAAAAUUUUUUGUAGAGAUGAGGUCUCACUGUGUUUCACAGGCUGGUCUCAAACUCCUAGUCUCAAGUAAUUUUUCUACCUCAGCCUCCCAAAGUGCUGGGAUUACAGGUGUGAGCUACUGUGCCUGGCCUGUUAUUCACCUUUUUAUAAAAGGAGCAACCCAUUUUUUCAAGUCAUUACUGGACGUACAGUAUUGUAGAGAAGUCUAUAUUAUUGCUUUAGAAGCAUGCUAAGCUCGAAAGGCUGGCCUGGACUCUGACCUAUGCUAAAGCCCAUGUAUGCACUUUAUUCUACUUUCAUCUAUACUUUUCCCCAGUGGCACAUGGUAGGGUCGAAAUACAUAUUUGCUGAAUGUAUAAAUGGAUGACUGAUUUUAUGGGUAAAAGUUGGUUGUUUCAAUGAAAAAUGAUCCAGAAGAAGAGAAGGUUACUUCAAACAGAACAUGGCAAUCGGAUAAAUACCUUCAAGUGUCUGUCUCCAUAAAAAUGUUCCAGAAGAAGAGGAGGUUACUUCAAACAGAACCUGGCAGUUGGAUAAAUACCUUCAAGUGUCUGUCUUCAUAACCACAUUUUAGCAAGAUUCCCAGCGUUCCUCAGGUAUUGCUGGAUGCUGUGCCAAAACAACAGUUGCUCCAUUGGAUCGAGUAAAGGUUUUAUUACAAGCUCACAAUCACCAUUACAAGCAUUUAGGAGUAUUUUCUGCAUUGCGUGCUGUUCCUCAAAAAGAAGGAUUCCUUGGAUUGUAUAAAGGAAAUGGUGCAAUGAUGAUUCGAAUCUUUCCCUAUGGUGCAAUCCAGUUUAUGGCAUUUGAGCAUUAUAAAACGUUAAUUACUACGAAGCUGGGAAUUUCAGGUCAUGUGCACAGAUUAAUGGCUGGAUCCAUGGCAGGAAGGUGGUUUCUUUGGAUUUUACAGAGGUCUGAUGCCUACUAUUUUAGGAAUGGCUCCAUAUGCAGGUGUUUCAUUUUUUACUUUUGGUACCUUGAAGAGUGUUGGGCUUUCCCAUGCUCCUACCCUUCUUGGCAGACCUUCAUCAGACAAUCCUAAUGUCUUAGUUUUGAAAACUCACGUAAACUUACUUUGUGGUGGUGUUGCUGGAGCAAUAGCACAGACAAUAUCCUACCCAUUUGAUGUGACUCGUCGGCGAAUGCAAUUAGGAACUGUUCUGCCAGAAUUUGAAAAGUGCCUUACCAUGCGGGAUACUAUGAAGUAUGUCUAUGGACACCAUGGAAUUCGAAAAGGACUCUAUCGUGGUUUAUCUCUUAAUUACAUUCGCUGUAUUCCCUCUCAAGCAGUGGCUUUUACAACAUAUGAACUUAUGAAGCAGUUUUUUCACCUCAACUAAAAAAGAAAUUAUGGUUGGUUUUUCUUAAUACAUUCUCAGAGGGAGAAAUGAAAUAUUACUAUAAUUGUGGGGGGAGCAUUACUUGAAUGGGGAUAUUUACCCUGUCACAGGAGCCACUGGUAUUUUAGUACUUGAUUAUUUUUUCUUUAGUCACAAAUCAGAAGUGCUUACCAUACUUUUUGAUGCCAAACAUUAUACCUUAGAACAUUGAAGAAAAUAUUCCUAAGCUGAUGCUGGCUAAACCGCUUUAAAGUUUUAUUUGGAAGUAGAACCAGCUUUAAAACGGGGUUCAAGAGGUUGCCAUUAGCUUUGUCAUGCUGUUCAAAGUUUUUAAUUGUUAUCAUGGUUUUUAAAAGACUGACAGUGUUUAUUAUUAUUAAAAUAAGCAGGGUUGGUUAUAUUGCAAUAGAAUAA
rnacentral:sRNA from 1 species